ACCUGAUUACGAUCUGAAACAGCAGAUAUCAAGUUUGGAGUCGUUCCUUGAGCUGGACGGUACCACGGCGGAGAAACCGAGUCAACUCGAUGAGUCCGUCUCCGAGGUGGAUAUGUGGAUGCUUGAUGAUGUCAUCGCGUCGUAUGAAUAAAAAAAAAUAGUCUAAUAACUAAAAACAAAAUCAAAUAAAGUUUGUAAUAUAUGUAACCGCCGUUACUUUUUAAGGUUUUUACCGUUACAUUGGACUGCUGAUGAUGUCUGUUGUGGACCGUGUGGAGUUCAAAAUGUGACCAAAUAAUGGAGCGUUAUAUUACGGUUUAAUUGUGGAAUUAUUAUUUUCUGUAAUGGAAAAAACUUACAUGUGUAAAUAAGAUUUGUAAUGUAAUAAGUAUUUAUAACUUUUUAACUACUUUGUGGUAGUCCUGAUUCCUGAAACAAAUGGAAAUAUAUGACAAUGGGGUUUCGAUUUUUUC
rnacentral:lncRNA from 1 species